GGAUUAGGCAUGCAAGUCGAACGAGGAAGUGCCCCGUAAGGGGCGCAAGCCUAGUGGCGAAAGGGUGAGUAAUGCAUUGAUAACCUGCCUUUGAGAUGGGAAUAACUGCGUUUCGAGCAAUCGGAACUACCGAAAGGGCUGCUAAUACCCAAUAAUACUAUAGGUGCAAAAGCACUUGUGGUCAAAUGCUAGGAAUUCUGUUCCUUGUGCUUAAAGAGGGGUUAAUGUCCUAUCAGCUAGUUGGUGGGGUAAUGGCCUACCAAGGCAAAGACGGGUAGCCGGCUUGAGAGAGUGGUCGGCCACACUGGGACUGAGACACUGCCCAGACUCCUACGGGAGGCUGCAGUCGAGAAUCUUUCGCAAUGCCCGAAAGGGUGACGAAGCGACGCCGCGUGUGGGAAGAAGGCCUUCGGGUUGUAAACCACUGUCGGGAGUUAGGAAAUGCAGGUGCGUUAAUAGCGCACUUGCUUGACUAAGGCUCCAGAGGAAGCCACGGCUAACUCUGUGCCAGCAGCCGCGGUAAUACAGAGGCGGCAAGCGUUGUUCGGAAUUAUUGGGCGUAAAGAGCACGUAGGCGGCCUUGCAAGUCAGUUGUGAAAGCCUUCCGCUUAACGGAAGAACGGCAUCUGAUACUACAGGGCUUGAGUACGGGAGGGGAGAGUGGAACUUCUGGUGGAGCGGUGAAAUGCGUAGAUAUCAGAAGGAACGCCGGCGGCGAAAGCGACUCUCUGGUCCGAAACUGACGCUGAGUGUGCGAAAGCUAGGGGAGCAAACGGGAUUAGAUACCCCGGUAGUCCUAGCCGUAAACGAUGGGCACUAAGUAGAGGGGUUUU
rnacentral:rRNA from 1 species